rnacentral:rRNA from 1 species
UACGUAGGGCGCAAGCGUUUGUCCGGAAUUAUUGGGCGUAAAGAGCUCGUAGGCGGUUUGUCGCGUCUGCUGUGAAAACCUAAGGCUCAACCUUGGGCUUGCAGUGGGUACGGGCAGACUAGAGUGCGGUAGGGGUGACUGGAAUUCCUGGUGUAGCGGUGGAAUGCGCAGAUAUCAGGAGGAACACCGAUGGCGAAGGCAGGUCAC